GGGCGCUUGAGAGAACUCUGGUGAAGGAACUAGGCAAAAUAGCACCGUAACUUCGGGAGAAGAUGCGCUGCUGACGGUGAAGGCCUUGCGCCGUAAGCCGUUGGCAGCCGAAGUAACCAGGCCGCUGCGACUGUUUAUUAAAAACACAGCACUCUGCAAACACGAAAGUGGACGUAUAGGGUGUGACGCCUGCCCGGUGCCGGAAGGUUAAUUGAUGGGGUCAGCCGCAAGGCGAAGCUCUUGAUCGAAGCCCCGGUAAACGGCGGCCGUAACAAUAACGGUCCUAAGGUAGCGAAAUUCCUUGUCGGGUAAGUUCCGACCUGCACGAAUGGCGUAACGAUGGCGGCGCUGUCUCCACCAGAGACUCAGUGAAAUCGAAAUCGCGGUGAAGAUUCCGUGUACCCGUGGCUAGACGGAAAGACCCCGUGAACCUUUACUGUAGCUUCACACUGGACUUUGACAUGAUCUGUGUAGGAUAGCUGGGAGGCUUUGAAGUGGUGACGCCAGUUGCCAUGGAGCCGUCCUUGAAAUACCAGCCUGGUCCUGUCGGGGUUCUAACGUCGACCUGUUAUCCAGGUUACGGACAGUGUGUGGUGGGCAGUUUGACUGGGGCGGUCUCCUCCCAAAGAGUAACGGAGGAGCACGAAGGUGCGCUAAUCACGGUCGGAAAUCGUGAGGUUAGUGUAAAGGCACAAGCGCGCUUGACUGCGAGACAGACAAGUCGAGCAGGUACGAAAGUAGGUCUUAGUGAUCCGGUGGUUCUGUAUGGAAGGGCCAUCGCUCAACGGAUAAAAGGUACUCCGGGGAUAACAGGCUGAUACCGCCCAAGAGUUCAUAUCGACGGCGGUGUUUGGCACCUCGAUGUCGGCUCAUCACAUCCUGGGGCUGAAGCCGGUCCCAAGGGUAUGGCUGUUCGCCAUUUAAAGUGGUACGCGAGCUGGGUUUAGAACGUCGUGAGACAGUUCGGUCCCUAUCUGCCAUGGGCGUUGGAGAUUUGAGAAGAGUUGCUCCUAGUACGAGAGGACCGGAGUGAACGAACCUCUGGUGUACCGGUUGUCACGCCAGUGGCAUUGCCGGGUAGCUAAGUUCGGACGGGAUAACCGCUGAAAGCAUCUAAGCGGGAAGCCUCCUUCAAGAUGAGAUCUCCCUGGAGCUUCAAGCUCCCUAAAGGGCCGUCGAAGACUACGACGUUGAUAGGCGAGGUGUGGAAGCGUUGUGAGACGUUGAGCUGACUCGUACUAAUUGCCCGUGCGGCUUGACC
rnacentral:rRNA from 1 species